rnacentral:misc_RNA from 1 species
GUAGGUGAACCUGCGGAAGGAUCAUUAUUGAAUAUUCUUGAUGGGUUGUAGCUGGCUCUCCGGGGCAUGUGCACACUUGUCUUGACUUUAUUCGUUCACCUGUGCACCUUUUGUAGUCUUGGGGGUUGAGAGCAGUCGACUAUCGGAUGGCUAUAUGGCCUUUUCGGACGUGAGGAAUGCUGAGUGCGAAAGCAUACAGCUCUUCUCAAAUGACUUGCAAAACCUCUCCCUCGAGUACUAUGUAUUCAUA